GCAAGUCGAACGUGAAGCAGGAGCUUGCUCCUGUGGAAAGUGGCAGACGGGUGAGUAACGCGUGGGAAUUUACCCAGUGGUUCGGAAUAACGCAUGGAAACGUGUGCUAAUACCGGAUACGCCCUCCGGGGGAAAGAUUUAUCGCCAUUGGAUGAGCCCGCGUCGGAUUAGCUAGUUGGUGAGGUAAUGGCUCACCAAGGCGACGAUCCGUAGCUGGUCUGAGAGGAUGAUCAGCCACACUGGGACUGAGACACGGCCCAGACUCCUACGGGAGGCAGCAGUGGGGAAUAUUGCGCAAUGGGGGAAACCCUGACGCAGCCAUGCCGCGUGAGUGAAGAAGGCCUUAGGGUUGUAAAACUCUUUCAGUGGUGAAGAUAAUGACGGUAGCCACAGAAGAAGCCCCGGCCAACUCCGUGCCAGCAGCCGCGGUAAUACGGAGGGGGCUAGCGUUGUUCGGAAUUACUGGGCGUAAAGCGCGCGUAGGCGGGCUGGUUAGUUGGGGGUGAAAUCCCGAGGCUCAACCUCGGAACUGCCCUCAAUACUGCCAGUCUUGAGUUCGAGAGAGGUGAGUGGAAUUCCUAGUGUAGAGGUGAAAUUCGUAGAUAUUAGGAAGAACACC
rnacentral:rRNA from 1 species